rnacentral:misc_RNA from 1 species
AAGUCGUAACAAGGUAACCGUAGGUGAACCUGCGGUUGGAUCAUUAAUGAAAUGUUUCUAAACCAUUAGGGUCCUUCUUUUGACCGCAAGGUUGAGAGUUGGAUUCCGAUACACACACCUGUUGAACUGUGAUUGAUGGCGAGUCGAGGUCGCAAGAUCUUGGCUGGUCAACCUUUAUAAACAUAAAGACCUUUUUUAAAUCAAGGAGGAAGCUAUUCAUUUAGUGGAAUCUGAAAAUAUAAAAAAAACAACUUUUGACAACGGAUCUCUUGGCUCUC